AGUGAACGCUGGCGGUAGGCCUAACACAUGCAAGUCGAACGGCAGCACAGUAAGAGCUUGCUCUUACGGGUGGCGAGUGGCGGACGGGUGAGGAAUACAUCGGAAUCUACUUUUUCGUGGGGGAUAACGUAGGGAAACUUACGCUAAUACCGCAUACGACCUACGGGUGAAAGCAGGGGAUCUUCGGACCUUGCGCGAUUGAAUGAGCCGAUGUCGGAUUAGCUAGUUGGCGGGGUAAAGGCCCACCAAGGCGACGAUCCGUAGCUGGUCUGAGAGGAUGAUCCGCCACCCUGGAAGUGAGACACGGUCCAGACUCCUACGGGAGGCAGCAGUGGGGAAUAUUGGACAAUGGGCGAAAGCCUGAUCCAGCCAUACCGCGUGGGUGCAGAAGGCCUUCGGGUUGUAAAGCCAUUUUGUUGGGAAAGAAAAGCAGCAGGUUAAUACCCCGCUGUUCUGACGGUACCCAAAGAAUAAGCACCGGCUAACUUCGUG
rnacentral:rRNA from 1 species